UGUGGUCUAAUACAUUGAACAAGACUUUUACAAUUGAUAUCAUUCGAAAGCGCCAUCGGUCAAUAGGUGUUUGAUGUGUAAAAAGGAAUCACAAUAUGCAACCAUCUUUUCAUUCAGUGUGAGGCAGUGUGGUACAUUUAGUCAUUUUCUCAGCUUCUUUGAGGUUGAUUGGGUUAUUCCAGAAUUCAUGAUGGGGCUUGUGGAUGGACGGCACAAUGGUCCCUUUAAAACCAGUUGGUGGAAUUCACUACAAAUUCCAGUUCCAUGGGCAAUUUCAAUUGCCUGGGCAGCCUCUGAUGACAAGGUUCCAACAAAAGCCAAAUGAGUGGAACAUUGUCAGGUGAAUUGCAGUUCCAUGAACAGUUCCAGUUGUGUAUGCAGCCUCUAAUGACAAGGUUCCAGCAAAAGCCCAAUGAGCGAAACAUUGUGAAUGUUAAGGUUUGUCUCCUAUAAUG